UACGAAGGGUGCAAGCGUUACUCGGAAUUACUGGGCGUAAAGCGUGCGUAGGUGGUUUGUUAAGUCCGCUGUGAAAUCCCCGGGCUCAACCUGGGAAUGGCAGUGGAUACUGGCAAGCUAGAGUGCGGUAGAGGGUAGUGGAAUUCCCGGUGUAGCGGUGAAAUGCGUAGAGAUCGGGAGGAACACCAGUGGCGAAGGCGGCUACCUGGACCAGCACUGACACUCAGGCACGAAAGCGUGGGGAGCAAACAGG
rnacentral:rRNA from 1 species